GUGCUUGCUUUGGCAAUACAUAUACUAAAAUUGGAACAAUACAGAUAUUAGCAUGGCCCUUGUGCAAGGAUGACAUGCAUGUUUUUGAAGUGUUCUGUAUUUUG